UACGUAGGGUGCGAGCGUUGUCCGGAAUUAUUGGGCGUAAAGAGCUUGUAGGCGGUUUGUCGCGUCUGCUGUGAAAAUCCGGGGCUCACCCGGACUUGCAGUGGGUACGGGCAGACUAGAGUGUGGUAGGGGAGACUGGAAUUCCGUGGUGUAGCGGUGAAAUGCGCAGAUAUCAGGAGGAACACCGAUGGCGAAGGCAGGCUCCUGGGCCACUACUGACGUGAGAACGAAAGCUGGGGGAGCGAACAGG
rnacentral:rRNA from 1 species